rnacentral:rRNA from 1 species
CCUACGGGAGGCAGCAGUGGGGAAUAUUGCACAAUGGGGGAAACCCUGAUGCAGCGACGCCGCGUGAGUGAUGAAGUAUUUCGGUACGUAAAACUCUAUCAGCAGGGAAGAAAAUGACGGUACCUGACUAAGAAGCUCCGGCUAAAUACGUGCCAGCAGCCGCGGUAAUA